rnacentral:rRNA from 1 species
GACGAACGCUGGCGGCGUGCUUAACACAUGCAAGUCGAACGGAAAGGCCCUGCUUUUGUGGGGUGCUCGAGUGGCGAACGGGUGAGUAACACGUGAGUAACCUGCCCUUGACUUUGGGAUAACUUCAGGAAACUGGGGCUAAUACCGGAUAGGAGCUCCUGCUGCAUGGUGGGGGUUGGAAAGUUUCGGCGGUUGGGGAUGGACUCGCGGCUGAUCAGCUUGUUGGUGGGGUAGUGGUUUACCAAGGCUGUGACGGGUAGCCGGCCUGAGAGGGUGAACGGCCACAUUGGGACUGCGAUACGGACCAGACGCCUACGGGAGGCAGCAGUGGGGAAUAUUGCACAGUGGGCGGGAGCCUGAUGCAGCAACGCCGCGUGCGGGAUGACGGCCUUCGGGUUGUAAACCGCUUUCGCCUGUGACGAAGCGUGAGUGACGGUAAUGGGUAAAGAAGCACCGGCUAACUACGUG